GUCUACUGCCAUGCCACCCUGAAUGUGCCUGAUCCCGUCCCAUCUCGGAAGCUAAGCAGUGUCGAGCCUGGUUAGUACUUGGAUGGGAGACCACCUAGGAAGACCAGGUGCUGUAGGCA
rfam:Pteropus alecto contig64707, whole genome shotgun sequence.